rnacentral:tRNA from 1 species
UGGGGUAUGGCUCAGCGGUAGAGCGUGUGCUUAGCAUGCACAGGGUCCUGGGUUCAAUCCCCAGUGCCUCCA